UGUCCGUUUUCUCAAACCACAUACUGGACCUGCAGGUUUUGUUUCUUCCUUCGCAUCUUGUUGUCCCAGCUGAGGUUUCUCUCACCCCCAGUAGCUCGAUCCAUCUCCGAGGACGUUUAGAGCUCACACAUGUUCUAGCUGUGGUAAAGAGGAUCUUGCAGUACCGGAGAAAUACAUCCUUGCCUUCCUGCACUUGUAGAUAAAUAUAUAUGUUCGAAGGCUUGCUGGAUAUAUGAACUACCAUCUGCAGGUCUCUUGGUUAAUCACCGGUAGACUGUCUGUGCAGACCCAACAUAAAUAAAUAGUACAGUGGGGAAGUGAUCGAUAAUGCUUUCCUU